rnacentral:rRNA from 1 species
GCAUGCAAGUCGAGCGCGAACCCCGCAAAGGGGGAGAGCGGCAAACGGGGUAGUAACGGGUAGGUGACGUACCCUCGGGUCGGGGAUAGCCACGGGAAACUGUGGGUAAUACCCGAUAAUCUCUCGAAGCGUGAUGGUUUCGGGAGCAAAGGUGUGAUUCCACCGGAGGAGCGGCCUGCUUCGUAUUAGCUGGUUGGUGAGGUAACGGCUCACCAAGGCGACGAUGCGUAGGGGGUGUGAGAGCAUGACCCCCACCACUGGGACUGAGAUACUGCCCAGACACCUACGGGUGGCUGCAGUCGAGAAUCUUCGGCAAUGGGCGCAAGCCUGACCGAGCGACGCCGCGUGUGGGAUGAAGGCCCUUGGGUUGUAAACCACUGUCAGAGGGGAUGAAGUGCAUGAGGGCAAUCUCUCAUGCUUGACAUAGCCUCANAGGAAGCACGGGCUAAGUUCGUGCCAGCAGCCGCGGUAAUACGAACUGUGCGAACGUUAUUCGGAAUCACUGGGCUUACA